rnacentral:rRNA from 1 species
AAGCGGAGGAAAAGAAACCAACAGGGAUUGCCUCAGUAACGGCGAGUGAAGCGGCAAAAGCUCAAAUUUGAAAUCCUCCGGGAAUUGUAAUUUGAAGGUUGUUUUGGUUGGGAAAGAUUACUUUAAGUCCAUUGGAAAAUGGCGCCAUGGAGGGUGAUAGCCCCGUAAAAGUAAACCCCCUCCCUUAAUCCAAAACUUCCAAAGAGUCGAGUUGUUUGGGAAUGCAGCUCUAAGUGGGUGGUAAAUUCCAUCUAAAGCUAAAUAUUGGCGAGAGACCGAUAGCGAACAAGUACAGUGAUGGAAAGAUGAAAAGCACUUUGAAAAGAGAGUGAAAAAGUACGUGAAAUUGUUGAAAGGGAAGGGCUUGCAAGCAGACACAACCUCGGUUGGGCCAGCAUCGGAGUGGGGGGAGAUAAAAAUGGGUAGGAAUGUAGCUUUAUCUAAAGUGUUAUAUCCUUACCCUUCCAUCUCCACCCCCUUCCGAGGCCUGCGAUUCUUCAAGGAUGCUGGCGUAAUGGUUGCAAGUCGCCCGUCUUGAA